rnacentral:rRNA from 1 species
UACAGAGGUCUCAAGCGUUGUUCGGAUUCAUUGGGCGUAAAGGGUGCGUAGGUGGCGUCGUAAGUGGGGUGUGAAAUCCCGUGGCUUAACCCCGGGACUGCAUUCCAUACUGCGGUGCUUGAGGACUGGAGAGGAGACUGGAAUUUACGGUGUAGCAGUGAAAUGCGUAGAGAUCGUAAGGAAGACCAGUGGCGAAGGCGGGUCUCUGGACAGUUACUGACGCUGAGGCACGAAGGCCAGGGGAGCAAACGGG